rnacentral:RNase_P_RNA from 1 species
GGAGCAGGCCGGGCGACCGCCGAAGACCACACGUCUUCGGAGGAAAGUCCGGACACCAAAGGGCAGGGCGCUGGGUAACUCCCAGUGGGGGCGACCCCAAGGAAAGUGCCACAGAAACAUACCGCCCUGCACCACGCGCUAUGCUUGGGUGCAGGGUAAGGGUGCAAUCGUGCGGUAAGAGCGCACGAGGCUCCGGGUGACCGGAGACCUGGGGGCGGCCCGCCGCAUCCCCGGGUAGGCUGCUCGAGGCGCCUGGCAACAGGCGCCCCAGAGAGAUGGUCGCCGCUUGGUAACUCCUCAUACUCCUCGCCCCCCGUGAGGGGGGAGAGGGUAGGGUGAGGGGGCCAGGUACAGAACCCGGCUUAUAGGCCUGCUCCCACA